rnacentral:rRNA from 1 species
CCUACGGGCGACAGCAGUAGGGAAUCUUCCACAAUGGACGAAAGUCUGAUGGAGCAACGCCGCGUGAGUGAAGAAGGGUUUCGGCUCGUAAAGCUCUGUUGGUCGUGAAGAAAGAUAGAGGUAGUAACUAGCCUUUAUUUGACGGUAAUUACUUUGAAAGUCACGGCUAACUACGUGCCAGCAGCCGCGGUAAUACGUAGGUGGCAAGCGUUGUCCGGGUUUAUUGGGCGUAAAGCGAGUGCAAGCGGUUCAAUAAGCCUGAUGUGAAAGGCGUCGGGUCAACCGGAGAAUUGCAUCAGAAACUGUUGAACUUGAGUGCAGAAGAGGAGAGUGGAAGUCCAUGUGUAGCGGUGGAAUGCGUAGAUAUAUGGAAGAACACCAGUGGCGAAGGCGGCUCUCUGGUCUGCAACUGACGCUGAGGCUCGAAAGCAUGGGUAGCGAACAGGAUUAGAUACCCUGGUAGUC